rnacentral:rRNA from 1 species
UCCUACGGGAGGCAGCAGUGGGGAAUAUUGGACAAUGGGCGAAAGCCUGAUCCAGCCAUGCCGCGUGUGUGAAGAAGGUCUUCGGAUUGUAAAGCACUUUAAGUUGGGAGGAAGGGCAGUUACCUAAUACGUGAUGUUUGACGUACCGACAGAAUAGACGAUCGGACC